GACAGAGGGGGCAAGCGUUGCUCGGAAUUACUGGGCGUAAAGGGCGCGUAGGCGGGAUGGCAAGUCGGUCGUGAAAUCCUUCGGCUCAACCGAAGAACGUCGAUCGAUACUGCUGUUCUUGAGGGUUGCAGAGGAGACUGGAAUUCCCGGUGUAGCAGUGAAAUGCGUAGAUAUCGGGAGGAAUACCGAUGGCGAAGGCAGGUCUCUGGGCUGACACUGACGCUCAUGCACGAAAGCGUGGGGAGCAAACAGG
rnacentral:rRNA from 1 species